CACCACCCCCUCCCUUAACUUGGUGGCCUCCCAAGUCAACAGAGGACGGCAGGACUCCCUCCAAGAAGCAAGAGUUUGCCUGAGCACCCUGCAGAGGCCGAUGAUUUCAGACUUUCGCUGAUAGCUAAACUUUAUGGCCACAGUGGGUGAGGAUGAACUUUGCCUCUGACCUGGAUCCACAAUUCAGAGUUUUCUUUUU